UCUGGAUUUUCGUUUUAGCAUAUCAGAAGCCUUACCUUCCAGGUUAACUGACAAAAUGGCUAGUUAAGAUUGAUGGGUUGUCUUCUAUUCCUGAAAGAGCUUAUGAGGUAUUUUUUGGUGGAGCUCUGGUGCCUGUCCUUGUAAAUGAGGGUGAUAUUUUUUCAUUUCCUGUCUUCUUUCCCUAUCGUAUGAACAUUUGUUAGUAGAUAUGUAUAUCUAUAAGGGCGUGUUGCCUAUUUCCUUUGAUGGCCGUACGUUUGGAUGUUAGUCGUUUCAUUUUACAAUUUUGUCAUUAAUGAAUCAGCCAUUGAGAGACUUUCUUCUCGAAUUCUCUUUUACUCGAGAAUUCACCUAUCUAUAUAGGGUUGUCCA